UUUAAUGUCCCUUCUUCUAAGGUAUGAAAAGAGAUUGCCUAUAUUGUUUUUUUCUACUAUUGCUUCUUCGAGAUUUAAUGCGUAUUCUGUCAUUCAGUAAUGCUAUAUAUGUUGCUCCUAUACUUUGCCGUCUUAAUGCUACUUGCAUAGGAUUUCUUUUGUAACCCAAUUGUAGCUGCAUAAUGUAGUACCCAGUGAGAAAAUUCUUUUAAUGCCUAAUGUUGUUUGUAUCUUUGAUGAUAAAAAAGAAUAUCUAUGCAUAACUUUCUGUUACGUUGGUCAGUUGUAAAUUUCUUUGUUAGCUUAUAUGUAACUGAACAAUUUAUUGUCUAAAGCUGCAUAAAUUCUAUGAUCCUGUCUGAUAAUUCUUUCCUUGGACGCUAACAUCUUGCAG
rnacentral:misc_RNA from 1 species